UACAGAGACUGCAAGCGUUAUUCGGAUUCACUGGGCGUAAAGGGUGCGCAGGCGGCCAAGUGUGUGAGGCGUGAAAGCCCGGGGCUUAACCCCGGAAUUGCACCUCAAACUACAUGGCUAGAGCAUUGGAGAGGGUAGCGGAAUUCACGGUGUAGCAGUGAAAUGCGUAGAUAUCGUGAGGAACACCAGAGGCGAAGGCGGCUACCUGGACAAUUGCUGACGCUCAGGUGCGAAAGCGUGGGGAGCAAACAGG
rnacentral:rRNA from 1 species